UGUGGUACAUGCAUGACUUGUGGCAGCCAUUUUCCUUCCUGUUCAAAAUCUUGUGUUUGUUUGAUCUGAUAGUCUUCUUCAUAUUUUGCAUUUAAAUUUGGGUUAUUGUCAUUCAUCAAGACUCUGGCAUGAUGAUAGAAUAAAUGAGCUUUGGGGUUGAGAUACUGAUAUCCAGGUCAUCAGUUUUUUCUAACAUUGCUACAUUGCUAUCAGUACCAAGUGUUCUUACAUUCCUAAUUUCUGUUAUCUUGCUGUUCAGGUGUUCUUGUAUUUUUUUUGGUAGGCUUGUAGCCACCCGUGUUUACAUUUUGUCCAAAGCCCAUGAAGAUUUGAUGGUGUAUAAGAUCUUCACAAGAAUAGUAUGCAACACGUUACAGCACAGGUAAUGCAUAUUCGUGCUGGAACUGUGAAUUUGUGCAACAUGUUGGUUUUAUCUAUAUUAUCUGAACUUUCACUUGUUAGGUUUCAUUCUCUUUCACCAUACUCAGUUGUCAGUUCUGGACAAGCUACUCUCUUUUCAUGCCAUUUUAAGACUGCAUUAUAUAAUUCCAUGGACAAGUCACCAGGCAUGCUGUAUCAAAAUUCACUCGGAGGCCUGAAUCAGGACAGGUGUGAGUAACUGCAGAAGGUCUACAAUGCCGGUGAACAGUUCAGGGCACCGGAAGGUAGUGGUAGACACACCUACUCGACGACUCCUGCGAUGGGUGUACCUAAAACACAGCAGAAAAUUCGUUCAUGCGAGAAUCGUCUGCCGAGGUGGGUGAUGGAUUGGCUUGCAACAAGUCGACAGAGUAAUUGUCGUGCAGUUACAGAUGCGAUAUGCUCGCUGGAGCCAUGCCAACAGAGGGGUCCAUGCGGAGGUGGUAUAUCUGAAACCUGCAGUCGCCUCGUGACGUCGCUCAGACUGACUUACAUAUCUGCGAUGGCCUCGUGCCCGUGGUGCCCAAGAUAUAUGGCUGGCAGGACUGAAACCAUCCAUUCUUCCUUCACUCAUCACAGAGUCGUAAUAAUCCUGGAAUGUCUGCACGCCAUUGUUGUUGGCUUUACGAGGUGAUGAGAAGAUCACUGAGGGCGUUGUUUGAUAAAUGGUGCUUCUUUUGGAUCAUACCCGUCUGGUGGAAGAUGUGCCUGCCUCCCUUCAUUGCUGGCGUGCUCCUCUAGUGUAGUGCUCAUUCAUGUCCGUGUUUCUUGUUACGGUGACAGUGUGUGUGCACCAUGUGUGCAAGAAUUAAUGGGUCUGGGGGCUCGUUAAUUCAAAUUUCCCCGAGUGUUGUUGCUCGGUCGCAAAAAACUGAGCUUGAUUAAUCUCAACGAUGCAAAGGUUGGCUGGAGAUUUAUUCCUUCCUUUGCAUC